rnacentral:rRNA from 1 species
UGGGGAAUCUUGCGCAAUGGGCGAAAGCCUGACGCAGCCAUGCCGCGUGAAUGAUGAAGGUCUUAGGAUUGUAAAAUUCUUUCACCGGGGACGAUAAUGACGGUACCCGGAGAAGAAGCCCCGGCUAACUUCGUGCCAGCAGCCGCGGUAAUACGAAGGGGGCUAGCGUUGCUCGGAAUUACUGGGCGUAAAGGGAGCGUAGGCGGACAUUUAAGUCAGGGGUGAAAUCCCAGAGCUCAACUCUGGAACUGCCUUUGAUACUGGAUGUCUUGAGUGUGAGAGAGGUAUGUGGAACUCCGAGUGUAGAGGUGAAAUUCGUAGAUAUUCGGAAGAACACCAGUGGCGAAGGCGACAUACUGGCUCAUUACUGACGCUGAGGCUCGAAAGCGUGGGGAGCAAACA